rnacentral:rRNA from 1 species
ACGGAGGGUGCAAGCGUUAAUCGGAAUUACUGGGCGUAAAGCGCACGCAGGCGGUCUGUCAAGUCGGAUGUGAAAUCCCCGGGCUCAACCUGGGAACUGCAUUCGAAACUGGCAGGCUAGAGUCUUGUAGAGGGGGGUAGAAUUCCAGGUGGUGGGGUGGAAUGCGGAGAGAUCCGGAGGAAAUCCGGUGGCGGAGGGCGCCCCCUGGACAAAGACUGACGCUCAGGUGCGAAAGCGUGGGGAGCAAACAG